GUUAAUGUUUUGGGUUUAGGAUAUAUAAUUUGGGUUUAAGGCUUACGGUUUGGGUUUAGGGUCUAGGACUUGGGUUUAGGGUAUAGAGUUUAGGUUUAUAGUCAAGUUUUUGGGUUCAGGAUAUAUAAUUUGUGUUUAGGGUCUAGGAUUAGGGUUUAGGGUAUAGGGUUUGGGUUUAGGGGUUUGGAUUUGAGUUUAGAAUUUAGGGUGUAUGGUUUAGAAUUUAAGAUUUAGGGUUUAGGGUUUAGCUGGAAGCGUUAGCGUCGUUAAAAUUAACGUUUUUAUUUUUUGCAGCUAUUUUUUAUUUAAUUUAAUAUUUUUUAAUUAAUAAUAUAUGUGUCACUUUAAUUGGUCGUAAAGGGUGGAGUUAAUUUAGGGGGUAAACUUAAUUUCUGUCCUUUAACGGAAUGUGUGAAUGCUAUGUAUAUUACGUAAUUAUGAAAGAAUUAAUGUCACAAAUAUGCCUUAUAUAUCUUUGACGUUAUAUAAUAGGUAUAACAUUAUGUAUAACACACAGAAGCAAGAUUUGCAGAAAAGUCAGGUGCUAAACAAUUAGGAGUUUGCUGUAUUUUAGUUAACGCUGCAAAUGCGCUCUCGUAUCCUUUUCUUGAACUUAAUAAUAGGUAUAAUAAGAAUCAUAAAUAUCUAUACACAAAGGUAAGAUGCCUACCAGCCUAGGUUUAACCAUAAAGCAAUUGGGAUUUUGACAUGUACCGAUGGAUCUCAAAAUCUAUUUCAAAAAUAAAGUUUAGGAGAAAUGUGUAAAAAAUAGGUAUUGAUGAUUUCGUAUAAAAAGGUAAAUGAUUGACAAUAAUUCAAGUAAAGAUAAAUAGAGUAAGAACAAGAACGUAUAAAUGUAUUCAAAGUGUAGAGAUUGUUUAGUAGAAUUUGGAUCCCCCUCCUCUUGCUUUUGGUCUUUCUUUUAUAUAGGUCAUCAAAGUAGAUCUUAUAAUGGCAGCGUGAUCUACGACGAGGAUAAAAUGCCCUGAUGGUUAUUUUUAAUGCUUUGGCCUCCAUUAUACUAUAAUUUGAAAGUAUAAGCUCGACAUGUGCCAUCUCUUGAGGUCGGCAUGGGCCUCAAACAUUUUUGGGUUAAUUGUCUCCUUGCAGGCCUAAAAAUAUUGGACCAGGUUCUCGAACCGAAUAUGGAGCAAGGUGAAGUACGCCUCCAACAAAAGCCCGCCAGAAACUGAUGUGUCUCGAGUAGGCAUCUAGUUCAGGUGCAGGUUUUGAGCUGAAUGCUAUGUUUGAGAUAGUAGGUUCUUUAGGAGAUUUAGAACCCGGUUCGAGAUUCUGAUCUACUUUUAUUAAAUUUUGAUUCGAUUGUGUAAUGAGUAAACCCACGAUUCGUUUUUCCUUUCUUAGGAUUCGAACCUUUUUGACCUUUACUUCCCUUGUUUCACCACUCCUACGUCGUUUCGAUGGAAUGGAUGUCAUCAGUUAUAAGUUAUUUUCUCUGGCUUUUUUUUCUUUCAUUUAUCUAAUAUCUUCUUUUCUCUCUUUCAUCAUCUUCUUUGUUUCUAACUUGGUCUGCUUUUUCUUUGUUGGCGUCUUUGAUUAGGAAAAACUCAAGGAGGGCUCCCUUCCCCCAUCUCCUGGCGGCGAUGAUGAUUCGCCAUCAGAUGACGUUUUCCCUAUCUCACAACCUUCUUCUUCCACCGUCAUUCUGUUUUCUGGGAUUGAUGGUUCUGCUUGUUCUUCGCCUCAUUUUUGGCUCAGAAAACUGCCAGUACAGUCGGGUCGAUUCAAUAUUUGAGAGUCUCUCGAGGUUCCUGUGGAGACGAUUUUUCUCCUUCUCGAUGAGGAUGAGGGACCUUGGCUGGCGCUUCUGGGGUAUUUUACGAUGUACGAGGUCAUCCUACUAAUCCUCCUUCUUCCAUUGUCCGUCGUUUCGAAUCUCGGAAUGACCUUAAGGGAGUCCGUAGAGGGUCUUGAGAUUGUUGUUGGUGAUGUUUAUGCUAUGGAGAUUGAGGCCUCUGGCUCUUGUGCUCUUCUUUCUUCGUCCCCCAGGUAUCUAAGCUGAGGGAGUUGCUUGACGGUUUGCGAUGAUCAGGAGUCAACGGUCUGCUCCAGGUCGUCAUUCGUAUUCGGAUGAUCCAAGGUUAAGGGGUGCUACUCUACUGAGAGGAGGUUGACAUCAUCGAGGGUUGGGUUCUAAGUCCGAAAUCAGACGUUUUCUUUUAAAGGCCCGAAAGUUGGGAAGUCGCUGCAUCUUCUGAGAGAGUUGACAGUGAUCCGCAUGUUACUGUUGUUCCCUCUUAACAAUCAGGGAAAUCUGCCACAUCUUUUGAUUAUCUUGGUGAUUCCUCUCUUGCUGAGGACGGUGGGGCUUGUGCUGACUUUUAUAGGCAUUUUUGUUUGGCUUGGUUGACGCUCUUAUUUUCUUUUUGGCAAACAAGUUUGGUGAAUCGACUCCUUCUGUCCUACGAUUGUAUGCUCCUUGAUGAGAGGGAGAAGGUGGUUGCUGUGGAUCGCUUUUCCAACCGUGACCGUGUUGCACUGAGAAUAGUGUAGAAAAGGUGGAGGAAGAGGCUCAGCGUUCAUCUGAGCUGAAGGUUCAGUUUGGGGCUACUGAAACUCAUUUGAGGGGCCGAUACAAGUAUUUUAGCGAGUUAGAGGCAUCUGGUCCUGCCCUUCUUGCACCACUGAAAAAUUCACAAGAUUCUCUGUCAGCGUCUUGAGUCGCGUCCGUGCUUAAGGAACCCGAGCUCAAGAGACUUCUCGAUGAUGCUCAACGAGAUUCAUGUGAGCGUCUAGAAUGCCUUGAGCUAAUGCUGAAGUCCCACCAGGAUGAAGUCUCCAUUGUCUAACAUUUUUGUAUUUCGGGUCGGGUUCGGAUAUUUAGAUUUUGAAGAAAAUUUUUCAUUGUUUAAGUUUUUUGUAUUUAAAAUAUACAUUUUCAACUUAA